rnacentral:rRNA from 1 species
AGAGUUUGAUCCUGGCUCAGGAUGAACGCUAGCUACAGGCUUAACACAUGCAAGUCGAGGGGAAACGAUAGAGAAAGCUUGCUUUUUCUAGGCGUCGACCGGCGCACGGGUGAGUAACGCGUAUCCAACCUGCCCACCACUUGGGGAUAACCUUGCGAAAGUAAGACUAAUACCCAAUGACGUCUCUAGAAGACAUCUGAAAGGGAUUAAAGAUUUAUCGGUGAUGGAUGGGGAUGCGUCUGAUUAGCUUGUUGGCGGGGUAACGGCCCACCAAGGCUACGAUCAGUAGGGGUUCUGAGAGGAAGGUCCCCCACAUUGGAACUGAGACACGGUCCAAACUCCUACGGGAGGCAGCAGUGAGGAAUAUUGGUCAAUGGACGAGAGUCUGAACCAGCCAAGUAGCGUGCAGGAUGACGGCCCUAUGGGUUGUAAACUGCUUUUAUAAGGGAAUAAAGUGAGCCUCGUGAGGUUUUUUGCAUGUACCUUAUGAAUAAGGACCGGCUAAUUCCGUGCCAGCAGCCGCGGUAAUACGGAAGGUCCGGGCGUUAUCCGGAUUUAUUGGGUUUAAAGGGAGCGUAGGCCGGAGAUUAAGCGUGUUGUGAAAUGUAGAUGCUCAACAUCUGCACUGCAGCGCGAACUGGUUUCCUUGAGUACGCACAAAGUGGGCGGAAUUCGUGGUGUAGCGGUGAAAUGCUUAGAUAUCACGAAGAACUCCGAUUGCGAAGGCAGCUCACUGGAGCGCAACUGACGCUGAAGCUCGAAAGUGCGGGUAUCGAACAGGAUUAGAUACCCUGGUAGUCCGCACGGUAAACGAUGGAUGCCCGCUGUUGGUCUGAAUAGGUC